AGAUCUCAUCUUUCCAUCCUAUAUAUUUUGGUGUAGCCUAUUUUGUUGUGCCUCUUUCUUAUAUUGCUUUGCCUUUGUGACUGUUUAUUCUUGAAGACACGGGACGCGUCAAGGUGCCAACUAUGACAUUCCUUCUACUACUCAUUCCACUUCUUUUAGUUCCUGGCUCACAGGCCAAGAUAUGUAGAGUAUACAGCCAGAGCUAUACCAUCCCUUUAUGCAAGCCGGGUCCAUGUGCUGAGGCAUGCCACAAGGAGGGGUUUCCAGAAGGGAGAUGUUACAUAUUAGGCGUGAUACCCCUUAUAAUCUUUUGUGUGUGUGAAAAACAGUGGUGAAUAAAACAUGGCGCAACUCUCACAGGAUGUGUGGUGUAAUAAGUAAUAAGGUUGUGUUGUAUGAUGAAGUAACAUUGACACUUGGCAAAAGUUGAGCCUCUUCCAUA